ACAGCAGUAGCCGCGGUAAUACGGAGGGGGCUAGCGUUGUUCGGAAUUACUGGGCGUAAAGCGCACGUAGGCGGCUUGGUAAGUUAGAGGUGAAAGCCUGGAGCUCAACUCCAGAAUUGCCUUUAAGACUGCCGAGCUAGCAGGUGAGAGAGGUAAGUGGAAUUCCGAGUGUAGAGGUGAAAUUCGUAGAUAUUCGGAAGAACACCAGUGGCGAAGGCGGCUUACUGGCUCAUACUGGACGCUGAGGUGCGAAAGCGUGGGGAGCAAACAGGAUUAGAUACCCCUGUAGUCCCUGUCUCUUAUAC
rnacentral:rRNA from 1 species